rnacentral:rRNA from 1 species
GCCAUGCCGCGUGUGUGAAGAAGGCCUUAUGGUUGUAAAGCACUUUAAGCGAGGAGGAGGCUACUAGUAUUAAUACUACUGGAUAGUGGACGUUACUCGCAGAAUAAGCACCGGCUAACUCUGUGCCAGCAGCCGCGGUAAUACAGAGGGUGCGAGCGUUAAUCGGAUUUACUGGGCGUAAAGCGUGCGUAGGCGGCCAUUUAAGUCAAAUGUGAAAUCCCCGAGCUUAACUUGGGAAUUGCAUUCGAUACUGGAUGGCUAGAGUAUGGGAGAGGAUGGUAGAAUUCCAGGUGUAGCGGUGAAAUGCGUAGAGAUCUGGAGGAAUACCGAUGGCGAAGGCAGCCAUCUGGCCUAAUACUGACGCUGAGGUACGAAAGCAUGGGGAGCAAACAGGAUUAGAUACCCUGGUAGUCCAUGCCGUAAACGAUGUCUACUAGCCGUUGGGGCCUUUGAGGCUUUAGUGGCGCAGCUAACGCGA